rnacentral:rRNA from 1 species
GAUGAACGCUGGCGGCGUGCCUAACACAUGCAAGUCGAACGGAAGGGCCCUGCUCUUGUGUCGUGCUCGAUUGGCGAACGCGUGAGUAACACGCGAGUAACACGCCCUUGUCUUUGUGGUAACUCCACGAAACUGGGGCUAUUAUCGCAGAGGAGCUUCUGCUGCACGGUGGUCGUUGGUAAGAUUCGGUGGUUGGGGCUGGUAUCGCGGCUUACCCGCUAGUUUGUCAAGUAUGUGCUUACCAAGGCUUUGACGGAUAGCCGGCCUGAGAGGGGGACCGGGCACAUUGGGACUGAGGGACGGCGCAGACGGCUACGGGAGGCAGCGGUCGGGAACAUUGCGCAGUGGGCGGAAGCGUGAGGCAGCGGCGCCGCGUGCGUGAUGACGGCCUUCGAGGUGUAAACCGCUGUCGCCGGUGACGUAGAGUGAGUGACGGUAAUGGGUAAAGAAGCACCGGCUAACUACGUG